GACGAACGCUGGCGGCGUGCUUAACACAUGCAAGUCGAACGGAAAGGCCCUGCUUUUGUGGGGUGCUCGAGUGGCGAACGGGUGAGUAACACGUGAGUAACCUGCCCUUGACUUUGGGAUAACUUCAGGAAACUGGGGCUAAUACCGGAUAGGAGCUCCUGCUGCAUGGGGGGGGUUGGAAAGUUUCGGCGGUUGGGGAUGGACUCGCGGCUUAUCAGCUUGUUGGUGGGGUAGUGGUUUACCAAGGCUUUGACGGGUAGCCGGCCUGGGAGGGUGACCGGCCACAUUGGGACUGCGAUACGGCCCAGACUCCUACGGGAGGCAGCAGUGGGGAAUAUUGCACAAUGGGCGGAAGCCUGAUGCAGCAACGCCGCGUGCGGGAUGACGGCCUUCGGGUUGUAAACCGCUUUCGCCUGUGACGAAGCGUGAGUGACGGUAAUGGGUAAAGAAGCACCGGCUAACUACGUG
rnacentral:rRNA from 1 species